CCUACGGGAGGCAGCAGUGGGGGAUAUUGCACAAUGAGGGGAACCCUGAUGCAGCGACGCCGCGUGGGUGAAGAAGCGCCUCGGCGCGUAAAGUCCUGUCAGCAGGGAAGAAAAUGACGGUAUCUGAAGAAUAAGCCCCUGCUAACUACGUGCCAGCAGCCGCGGUAAUACGUAGGGGGCAAGCGUUAGCCGGAUUUACUGGGGGUAGAGGUGGCGCAGACGGCGGUGCAAGUCAGAAGUGAAAGCCCGGGGCCCAACCCGGGGACUGCUCUUGGAACUGCGUAGCUGGAGUGCAGGAGGGGCAGGCGGAAUUCCAGGUGUAGCGGUGAAAUGCGUAGAGAUCAGGAGGAACACCGGUGGCGAAGGCGGCCUGCUGGACUACAACUGACGUUGAGGCGCGAAAGCGUGGGGAGCAAACAGGAUUAGAUACCCUAGUAGUC
rnacentral:rRNA from 1 species